CCUACGGGAGGCAGCAGUGGGGAAUAUUGGACAAUGGGCGCAAGCCUGAUCCAGCCAUGCCGCGUGAGUGAUGAGGGCCCUAGGGUUGUAAAGCUCUUUCACCGGUGAAGAUAAUGACGGUACCGGAAGAAUAAGCCCCGGCUAACUUCGUGCCAGCAGCCGCGGUAAU
rnacentral:rRNA from 1 species